rnacentral:rRNA from 1 species
GAACGAACGCUGGCGGCGCGUUUAAGCAUGCAAGUCGAGCGGCAGGGGGGCCUCGGCCCCCCGAGAGCGGCGGACGGGUGAGUAACACGUGGACAACCUGCCCCCCGGUUCGGGAUAGCCCAGGGAAACCUGGAUCAAUACCGGGAUGCGAGGGCGGCCGCACAAGCGGCCGUCGGGAAAGGCGCUUCGGCGCCGCCGGGGGAUGGGUCCGCGUCCCAUUAGCUAGACGGUGGGGUAACGGCCCACCGUGGCGAUGAUGGGUAGCCGGCCUGAGAGGGUGGACGGCCACAUUGGAACUGAGACACGGUCCAGACUCCUACGGGAGGCAGCAGCUAAGAAUCUUCCGCAAUGGGCGAAAGCCUGACGGAGCGACGCCGCGUGAACGAAGAAGGCCGUGAGGUUGUAAAGUUCUUUUCGGGAGGGGGAACGAGGCUGCCAGGCAAUGGGCGGCCGAUGACGUGAAUCCCGGAAUAAGCCCUGGCUAACUACGUGCCAGCCGCAGC